rnacentral:rRNA from 1 species
CCUACGGGAGGCAGCAGUAAGGAAUAUUGGACAAUGCUCGCAAGAGUGAUCCAGCCAUGCCGCGUGCAGGAAGAAUGCCCUAUGGGUAGUAAACUGCUUUUGAACUAGAGAAAACCCCAGUACGUGUACUGGGCUGAUAGUAUAGUUAGAAUAAGCAUCGGCUAACUUCGUGCCAGCAGCCGCGGUAAGACGAAGGAUGCAAGCGUUAUCCGGAUUCAUUGGGUUUAAAGGGAGCGUAGGUGGACUGAUAAGUCAGUGGUGAAAUCUCCGAGCUUAACUCGGAAAUUGCCAUUGAUACUGUUGGUCUUGAGUACAGUUGCUGUGGGCGGAAUAUGACAUGUAGUGGUGAAAUACAUAGAGAUGUCAUAGAACACCGAUUGCGAAGGCAGCUCACAAAGCUGUAACUGACACUGAGGCUCGAAAGUGCGGGGAUCAAACAGGAUUAGAUACCCUGGUAGUCCGCACCGUAAACGAUGAUUACUCGCUGCUAGGGGACAACCUUUAGUGGCUUAGNGAAGAGAAGUAAGUAAUUACACCGUGGGUUAGGUUACGGCCGGCCGACGGUUAGAACGUUAAAGGUUAAGUUAGACGGCGUUGAGACGNGCGACGGACGACGACGAGGGAGGUAGGAG